GUGCUAACUUUGGCAUCACAUAUACUAAAAUUGGAAUGAUACAGAGAAGAUGAGCAUGACCCCUGUGCAAGGAUGAUACGCAAAUUCCAUAUAUAUUUUUUUAAGUUUU